UACGAAGGGGGCUAGCGUUGUUCGGAAUUAUUGGGCGUAAAGCGCGCGCAGGUGGUUUCUUAAGUCUGAUGUGAAAGCCCACGGCUCAACCGUGGAGGGUCAUUGGAAACUGGGAGACUUGAGUGCAGAAGAGGAAAGUGGAAUUCCAUGUGUAGCGGUGAAAUGCGUAGAGAUAUGGAGGAACACCAGUGGCGAAGGCGACUUUCUGGUCUGUAACUGACACUGAGGCGCGAAAGCGUGGGGAGCAAACAGG
rnacentral:rRNA from 1 species